rnacentral:rRNA from 1 species
AGUCAAUAGAUCCCAGGUAGUCCCAGCUGUAAACGAUGCGCGUUAGGUGUAUCGGUGACCACGAGUCAUCGAGGUGCCGAAGGGAAACCGUGAAACGUGCCGCCUGGGAAGUACGGUCGCAAGGCUGAAACUUAAAGGAAUUGGCGGGGGAGCACCACGACGGGUGGAGCCUGCGGUUUAAUUGGACUCAACGCCGGGCAGCUCACCGGAUAAGACAGCUGGAUGAUAGCCGGGCUGAAGACUCUGCUCGACUAGCUGAGAGGAGGUGCAUGGCCGUCGUCAGUUCGUACUGUGAAGCAUCCUGUUAAGUCAGGCAACGAGCGAGACCCACGCCAACAGUUGCCAGCAUGUCCUCCGGGAUGAUGGGGACACUGUUGGGACCGCCUCUGCUAAAGAGGAGGAAGGAAUGGGCAACGGUAGGUCAGCAUGCCCCGAAUUAUCCGGGCUACACGCGGGCUACAAUGGUCAGGACAAUGGUAUCGACACCGAGAGGUGGAGGCAAUCUCCUAAACCUGUCCUUAGUUC